rnacentral:ncRNA from 2 species
UUAUAAUGACCGCGUUUUGGUGCCCGCUGGCGUGAUCACGCCGGCAGUUAAACGGGAAACACUUUGUGUGCUGCCCCCGCAACGGUACGCAGGCGCCGCCUGGUCAGGCGGCCGGCCUUCUCCAGACCACUGUGCAUGGCGCAGGAAGGUGAGAUGGUUUGUCCUGCCAGCCCGGAUACCGGCCAAAGCAGGUGGAAGCGG